rnacentral:rRNA from 1 species
ACGAACGCUGGCGGCGUGCUUAACACAUGCAAGUCGAACGGUGAAGCGCCUUCCUUUUUGGUGGGUGUGGAUGAGUGGCGAACGGGUGUGUAACACGUGAGUAACCUGCCCCCUUCUUCUGGAUAACCGCAUGAAAGUGUGGCUAAUACGGGAUAUUCUGGGUCUGUCGCAUGAUGGGUCUGGGAAAGAUAUUGUUUCGGUGGGGGAUGGGCUCGCGGCCUAUCAGCUUGUUGGUGGGGUGAUGGCCUACCAAGGCGGUGACGGGUAGCCGGCCUGAGAGGGUGGACGGUCACACUGGGACUGAGACACGGCCCAGACUCCUACGGGAGGCAGCAGUGGGGAAUAUUGCACAAUGGGCGCAAGCCUGAUGCAGCGACGCCGCGUGAGGGAUGGAGGCCUUCGGGUUGUGAACCUCUUUCGCCAGUGAAGCAGGCCUGCCUCGUUUGUGGGUGGGUUGACGGUAGCUGGAUAAGAAGCGCCGGCUAACUACGUG